AACACAUUGACAUCUUAGGAGCUGAUGUUUUUAAAUCAUGGAUGAAGCAGAAAUUUGAUACUGAGACUAGCUAGCAUAAAAGGAAGGACAUUUUUUGAAUGCCUAGAAUAGAAUGGCUUGGUCUCUAAAAACCGGGUGUCAGAGAUAGACUCUUCAGGACACAAUUCAGGAUGAAUAGAGAAUCCUGAGGAGAGGGAGAGAGGUGGGGACUAGCUGGUCAAUGGAGCAGGUGGGACACACACUCCAUUCAUGAAGUUUGCUCUGAUGUGGGUCCAGUUCAUGGCUUCCCCAAUUACAAUAGUAACUUUACAGGUCCCUGA